GCGAUCGGCGCCAGCGCGUAGCGACAGAGCCACCGUCGCCAUGCCGUCGCCGCUGCGAGUGGCGGUGGUGUGUUCGAGCAACCAGAACCGGAGCAUGGAGGCGCACAGCAUCCUCAGCAAACGAGGAUUCAGUGUCCGGUCCUUUGGAACAGGAACUCAUGUGAAGCUCCCAGGACCAGCACCCGACAAGCCAAACGUUUAUGAUUUCAGAACCACAUAUGGUCAGAUGUAUAAUGAUCUUCUUAAGAAAGACAAAGAGCUCUAUACACAGAAUGGCAUCUUACAUAUGUUGGACAGAAAUAAGAGAAUCAAGCCCCGGCCAGAGAGGUUCCAAAACUGCAAAGAUCCGUUUGAUUUGAUCCUCACUUGUGAAGAGAGAGUCUACGACCAGGUGGUGGAAGAUCUGAAUUCCAGAGAACAGGAGACCUGCCAGCCGGUACAUGUCAUCAACGUGGACAUCCAGGACAAUGACGAAGAGGCCACCUUGGGGGCGUUCCUCAUCUGUGAGCUCUGCCAGUGUAUCCAGCAAACGGAGGACAUGGAGAAUGAGCUCGAUGAGCUGCUGCAGGAGUUCGAGGAGAAGAGUGGCAGGGCCUUCCUGCACACAGUGUGCUUCUACUGACCCCAGCGCCUGCCCACCCUCCGGAAGCCAGAAGCCAUCUUUCUGAGCCUCCUUUUGUUAACAGUUUUCCUUCUGAUAUUUGUUUUUAAUAAACUAUACAUAUGAAAUAAGUUAUACAUAAAUGCCAGAUUAAAGACAAGCUUUUUCUAUCCUACUUUAUGAAUAGGAUAU